ACCAGACUCCUACGGGAGGCAGCAGUGAGGAAUAUUGGUCAAUGGCCGAGAGGCUGAACCAGCCAAGCCGCGUGAGGGAUGAAGGUACAGAGUAUCGUAAACCUCUUUUGUCAGGGAACAAAGGCGGGGACGCGUCCCCGGAUGAGUGUACCUGAAGAAAAAGCAUCGGCUAACUCCGUGCCAGCAGCCGCGGUAAUACGGAGGAUGCGAGCGUUAUCCGGAUUUAUUGGGUUUAAAGGGUGCGCAGGCGGAGGUGCAAGUCAGCGGUCAAAUUGCGGGGCUCAACCCCGUCGUGCCGUUGAAACUGACGCCCUUGAGUGAGUGAGAAGUAAGCGGAAUGCGUGGUGUAGCGGUGAAAUGCAUAGAUAUCGCGCAGAACUCCGAUUGCGAAGGCAGCGUACCGGCGCCAGACUGACGCUGAGGCACGAAAGCGUGGGGAUCGAACAGGAUUAGAUACCCGUGUAC
rnacentral:rRNA from 1 species